rnacentral:rRNA from 1 species
UACGUAGGGUGCGAGCGUUAAUCGGAAUUACUGGGCGUAAAGCGUGCGCAGGCGGCGCGUUAAGACAGGUGUGAAAGCCCCGAGCUUAACUUGGGAAUUGCGCUUGUGACUGGCGUGCUGGAGUGUGGCAGAGGGAGGUGGAAUUCCACGUGUAGCAGUGAAAUGCGUAGAGAUGCGGAGGAACACCGAUGGCGAAGGCGGCCUUCUGGACGGUGACUGACGCUGAGAUGCGAAAGCGUGGGGAGCAAACAGG